rnacentral:rRNA from 1 species
CAGCCGUAAACUAUGCGCGUUAGGUGUACUGGUGACCACGAGUCACCGGGGUGCCGAAGGGAAACCGUGAAACGUGCCGCCUGGGAAGUACGGUCGCAAGGCUGAAACUUAAGGAAUUGGCGGGGGAGCACCACAACGGGUGGAGCCUGCGGUUUAAUUGGACUCAACGCCGGAAAUCUCACCGGAUAGGACAGACAUAUGAUAGUCGGGCUGAAGACUCUACUUGAUGAUCUGAGAGGAGGUGCAUGGCGUCAGUG